AUUGAACGCUGGCGGCAGGCUUAACACAUGCAAGUCGAGCGAGCGGCGGACGGGUGAGUAAUGUCUGUGAAACUGUCUGCUGGAGGGGGCUAACUACGGGCAACUGUAGCUAAUACCGCAUAACAUCAGAUGUGCCCAGAUGGGAUUAGCUAGUAGGUGGGGUCAUGGUUCACCUAGCCGACAAUCCCUAGCUGGUCUGAGAGGAUGACCCGCCACACUGGAACCGAGACACGGUCCGGACUCCUACGGGAGGCAGCAGUGGGGAAUAUUGCACAAUGGGCGCAAGCCUGAUGCAGCCAUGCCGCGUGUGUGAAGAAGGCCUUCGGGUUGUAAAGCACUGUCAGCGAGGAGGCGUUACUCGCAGAAGAAGCACCGGCUAACUCCGUGCCAGCAGCCGCGGUAAUAC
rnacentral:rRNA from 1 species